rnacentral:rRNA from 1 species
UACGUAGGGCGCAAGCGUUGUCCGGAAUUAUUGGGCGUAAAGAGCUCGUAGGCGGUUUGUCGCGUCUGCUGUGAAAUCCCGAGGCUCAACCUCGGGCUUGCAGUGGGUACGGGCAGACUAGAGUGCGGUAGGGGAGACUGGAAUUCCUGGUGUAGCGGUGGAAUGCGCAGAUAUCAGGAGGAACACCGAUGGCGAAGGCAGGUCUCUGGGCCGCAACUGACGCUGGAGGCACG